rnacentral:lncRNA from 1 species
GACUGAAGGAAGGGCACGUUCUUAUCAAUAUUAUGCGUCCUAGAUCGAAUGUUGACUGAUAUUAAAAUCGAAGAAUAAACAUGGAUCAGAUUUUUUUAUCUGCUUGUUUAUUGAAAGUGCUAUUGGUUUGUAAUAUCUGUUUUGUAGUAACUUGCUCAAAUUUGGAAAAACGAUUGCUUGUAAACGAUGGUGAUUACGUGGAAUCUCGUUUACAUCAAAUUGAUGUUCAAAUUCAAACUUUGGUUGCGCAGUCAUCGUCAAAGGAUCAGAAAAUAGCACAGCUUACGAACCGUUUAAAUGAAAAAGAUGCUCAGGUAGGAAAAAAAUCAUUUUGUUUCUUGUUUUAAAAAUAGUCAGUAACUAGCUAUAGGAUUCCAAUAUAAUCAUGAUAAUGGCAAGACAGUGAACCAUAGGGUUAAAAUAGUAAGAGCCCCACCUCACCCCCGCACCAUUCAUUAAUGCCUCGUUCACGCGGACAUUUAAUUCAAAUUAAAUUCGAAUCGAAUGCGAAUCGAAUUCGCAAAUCGCGUUCACACACUCUUCUUUUUUAAUUCGAAUUGGCUAAUUCGAAUUAUCUAUUUCGCAUUAGAAAUACGCUUUUGUGAAUACGAAUUAAAGUAAACGUCGUUUGGACAGUAAAGCGAAUUUGACUCGCAUUUUAAUUCGAAUUCGAGCCACCUUAAUGCGAAUCGAAUUCGAAUAACGUGUGAACUCAGCAUUAAUAUAAGGCUAUUCGACCAAUGCACUGGUACCAGGUUUGUUUUGAUAUCUUCCUUUGGUGAUAUAUUGGGUUUAUUAUUCACCAACGUCUGAAAGUUUCUAGAUCGUGGUACAAAGGCUUAUGACAAAAAACGCAAGAGUAACAUUUGGUUUAAAAUUACAAGAACAAAACUUAAAAACAGUCGGACUUGGCUCAUCAAAACCAAACUAAGCGGAAAUAACAUGAAAAUAAACAUUAAAAAACCAGCAUUAUAAUUUAAUACGUCAGACGCGCGUUUCGUCAACAUAAGUCAAUAUUUGUAAAAAGAAAACCAUUAAAGACCAACUUGUGGCCUUCAACAUGGAGCCAUGGCUCGCACCGAACAGCAAGCUAUAAAGGGUCCCACAAAGGACUAGUAUCGAACCAUCCACGGGAAAAACAACAGUCUAAUUUAUAUAAAAAAAACGACAAACACUUAUGAACCACAUCAACAAAUGUCAGCCACUGAACAACAGGAGUCAAUUUCACACAAAAAAAAACAAAACGUACGACUAAGACUUAUCGUGAGUAUUCUGAUUUGAUCAUGACUUAAGACCAAUUUUAGUCGUAAGUAUUAUUUGUGAAACCGACUCCAGGUUCCUGUCUUUGGACAGGGAGAAACAAAUGCAUCGGGCGGCAGACGCCAACCUUCACCCUUGCCUGAAUGUAAAAUCACAACACAGAAGUCUUGAUUAUACUAAACACAAAAAGCAUGGUGGUUUUUGAAUGCGUUUCGAAUGAAAUGUGUACAUCUUACUGACUAACUGUACAAUUGUUUUAAAAGUUGUGCACUAUAUAUAUAAACUAACAUUUUUUUUAGAAUAAGCAUUCUAUUAUUACUUUUUUAGUCAGUGAUACGAAAUUAAUUGACUUCAUUAGUAUUAGUGGUUGUUUUUGUUUACGUAUAGUUGUAAUAAUUCCGUAAUUUUGUCUCUUUUAACGAAUAACUUGGUAAAUUAGCACCGUUACUGUUAGUACAUACUCUUUAUGGCUCUUACAAAUGUAAUGCUUUUAACUAUCAUUUUUUCAGUCGAGAUUUUAAAUUGAUUCUUAAUUUUUUCACAGAUAAUGAAUUUAACCAACGAAUUGAAAAGCCUCCGUCUCUCAGG